GUGUCAGCCGCCGCGGUAAUACCAGCACCCCGAGUGGUCGGGACGAUUAUUGGGCCUAAAGCAUCCGUAGCCGGUCAUGCAAGUCUUCCGUUAAAUCCAGCCGCUCAACGGUUGGGCUGCGGAGGAUACUACGUGGCUAGGAGGCGGGAGAGGCAAGCGGUACUCAGUGGGUAGGGGUAAAAUCCUUUGAUCCAUUGAAGACCACCAGUGGCGAAGGCGGCUUGCCAGAACGCGCUCGACGGUGAGGGAUGAAAGCUGGGGGAGCAAACCGGAUUAGAUACCCCCGUAGUCC
rnacentral:rRNA from 1 species